rnacentral:rRNA from 1 species
GACGAACGCUGGCGGCGUGCUUAACACAUGCAAGUCGAACGGAAAGGCCCUGCUUUUGUGUGUUGCUCGAUUGGCGAGCGGGUGAGUAACACGUGAGUAACCUGCCCUUGACUUUGGGAUAACUUCAGGAAACUGGGGCUAAUACCGGAUAGGAGCUCCUGCUGCAUGGUGGGGGUUGGAAAGUGUCGGCGUUUGGGGAUGGACUCGCGGCUUAUCAGCUUGUUUGUGGGGUAGUUGCUUACCAAGGCUUUGACGGGUAGCCUGCCUGAGAGGGUGACCGGCCACAUUGGGACUGAGAUACGGCCCAGAAUGCUACGGGAGGCAGCGGUGGGGAAUAUUGCACAAUGGGCGGAAGCCUGAUGCAGAAACGCCGCGUGCGGGAUGACGGCCUUCGGGUUAUAAACCGCUUUCGACUGUGACGAAGAGUGAGUGACGGUAAUGGGUAAAAAAGCAACGGCUAACUACGUG